UUUCUGCCUGCAGGAAAGCUUGUCCAACAGGUUUUACUUUGUCUUUUAAUUGAUGUAUGUUGUACUGCCAGACAGUAUCUAAUAUACUGAAUUCAUAGAUAUAAAUAAACACAUAUCGGCUAUUAAACACACAUAUACAUAUAUAUAUAUAUAUAUAUAUAUAUAUAUAUACAUAUAUAUAUAAAUACAUAUAUAUACAUUUACAUGUGUAGAUACAUAUAUAUAAACACGUAUAUAUAUGCAUACAUAUAUUUAGAUAACCAAACACGCUUUAAGCGGCAAGUGAUAUUUGAGGGUGUGUUGAUUCUAAAGAAAGAGUUCAAACCAUUAUUUACAUUAGUUUAUUUCUGAACACAAACAAGGUUUUAUUAACGACAUUUGCAUAAACUCAUUGAUCAUUUACAUAUAUAAUACAACAUAUCAAACAAGACACCAUUUUAGUAAUGAUGGUUGCUAUGAUAACUCAAUCAACGACACAUUUCACCCUCUGCAAUGGUUUUGAUGGUAGUGUAGAAGAUGGUCGUUUCUAUGACAACGACAGGCUUCACGAUGGGACUUUGAAUGGUACCAAGUCAGAGGGGUCGCCAUGGAGAUGGGGCGGUUGCUAGGAGACAGCCCAGGGUGGUACAGGAAUGUCCUGGAGUGUCAUGUGAUCAACUCCAUAUAUACUGCUGCACUGGUGUGCGUUUGUUUUUGUGUGUAUGGCGUAGUGUGUGUGUGUGUGUGUGUGUGUGUGUGUGUGUGUGUGUGUGUGUGUGUGUGUGUGUGUGUGUGUGUGUGUGUGUGUGUGUGUGUGUGUGUGUGUACCGUUGGCAUUACGUUAGCUAGAGAUAGGGGCCGUUAGCAUGAUGGAGGAAAGGGCUGCUAACGUGAUUUUAGCUAAAGAUGGUAGCUGUUAGCAUAUUAGCUAGAAACAGGAGCUGCAAGCAUUAUGUUAGCAUCAUGUAAGCUAGAUACAGGAGCAGUUAACAUUAUGCAAGCUGCAGACAAGAGCAGUUAGCAUGGUGUUGGCUAAAUACAGCAGCUGUUAGCAUGAUGCUAGCUCAAUAUAGGAGCUGUAAGCAUGAUUGUAUCUAGAACUAGGAGCUAUUAGCAUGAUGUUAGCAAGGGAUGUGAAUGGUGUAUAAGCAGAGUAGAUGGGUAAGCGAGUAAGAAACAAUGGGCGCAGUAUGAUAUUUUCUUCAAAUUAUAACAUACAUUUUCUUUAUAAUUUAAGUAUUGAACAUUACAGACAUGAUAUCUGAGGAUGAUCCUCAUGAUAGAAAUGGUUCACAUUUCAGGUUCAAGUAGUGAUUUGAUAAAAAAUAAUGCAUAUAUUAAAAACAGAUCUCGCUCACUUUUGUUCAAUAAAGAAGCAAAGGUGCACCUUCACCAGGACGGGGGAAGAAUCAUAACCGAAUCCAAACUAAUCCUAAUAUAAUUCUAAUCUUAUCAUGUUAUCUAAUCGCUAUUUUAUCUAAACCUACUCUAAUCUACCCCUAAUCUAAUCCCUUUUGUUAUCUAAAGGGUGGGUAUCCGAUGGUAACAACAAUAUUAAGUGUUAGGCUUUUCUCUCACUACUUCAACACUUGCAGAUACAUGACUGAAUGCUGUCUCAAUCUCUCGGUAAUGUUAGUAAAAUACAACGGGUCUAGAAAGAUUUACCUUCACAUCAUCAACAAAUACGAAGAAUAUGAAGCCACAAAAUCCUGACUGUCGUUUUUAACAACACAGACAGGCAGACAGACAGACAGGCAGUCAGUCAGUUAGACAGUUAGACAGACAGACAAAGAUAGAGGGUUUCUUUUACAAAAUAUUAAAAUAAGUUAAUCGGAAUCAUGACACUUGAAGACAUUAAAUGGAAAUUUAUCAUAAAAUUACUUUUGUUAUUUGUAGUUAAGUUCAUAACGAACUGAGUUCCGAUAGUACCAGAACAGGCGACCAAACCAACCUGCUCAUUAACUAGUGAUGGUUUAGUUGGAACACACCGGUGGGAUGAUUCACCAAGCCAGCCCCCCGCAGAGAAGGGGGUCAACUGGCCCCGCCCGAAGGGAGGUCUGGAUCAGAUGAAGAGCCGCCUGUGAUUGGCCAAGCAGCAGGAAGCAGCCAGCACUAGUUAGAGAUGAUAGGUGGCUGGAUCAAUGUUGGACAGACAGAUGGAUAGAUCUGUGAUGUCUAGAGAUGAUGGACACAUAGAUGGAUAGAUCUAUGACGCCUUGCUGGGUUACGGAGGUCACGUAGAGGUCAGUAUAAAGUUAAAGGUCUUCAGACGGCUUCAGUAGUUCAAGGAAGGCACCCACUGCGCCGAAAUAACCCUAGAGAGAGAGACAGAUACAGAUCGAUAUUAGCUGGUACUUUGCUUUAAUAUAAAUGCAUCACAUAAGAAUCACGCAAUAUUCUACGAGACGGUGUGCUUCAGUGGCACUGGCAGAACAAGGCAACUGACCAAGUAUGGGAGAAACAAAGUCAGUGCUACAUCGACAUCGCCCUCCCCUUCCAUCACAGUCUGGUAUGGCUACAGACAGAGUUCAGCUGGAAAAGCCUCCAACCUUGACCUCAACUCAGAAAACUCCCUAUACACCUAACACUCAACCACAUAAGUAACUUAUAUCAUAUAUAAUAACUUAUUCUUUAAGAUAGCAGAGGACCAACUCGCCCAGCACCCCACCUCUUUCAGCCUCUAGCCGCAGAAAGACGACACAGGUCUUUAAAGGGGACCUAUUAUGCUUUUUCGACUUUUAUGACCUGUAAACGUUGUUAUAAUGAUUGAUAGUCAUGUUUAACCAUACACAAAAAACGAUGUAGAUUUUCGGGGAACUCUUCCUCUCAUCUGGGCGCUUUCAGCCUUCUCUGUCAACGCUCCGUUUCGUCCUUCUCCGCCCCCUCGCCCCCCUCCUGCCAACCCAACUCCGUUGUGAUUGGUUACCUUCCUUGGAGUGCGCGCGCGGGCAGAUUUGACCCGGCAUAUGGGGGCGCGGCAGGAGUGCCUCUACGUAGAUGUUUCCCGGAAAUGUGAACAAGUGAAUCGCAAACGUUGUCCCGAGUGUUUAGCGCUCUGCACAGCCACCCCAGACUGUCAGCAGGGAAUACGUCGAAAUGCAUGUUCCUCAUUAUUUGACACUUCAGUAUGGUUAAACAUGACUAUCAAUCAUUAUAACAACGUUUAUAGGUCAUAAAAGUCAAAAAAGCGUAAUAGGUCCGUCCCCAUUAAGGACCAAAGCGACUCUGUUCCCUAACAGCAGCGGUCAGAGCCCUGGCCCCACGGAGACCCACACACGCCCACCACAGCAGCCUAUGCAACCACGGCCAUGCAUGCUCCCCCGGAUGACCAUACACACACACCUGUGUGUCGCCCAGUUGGACGUAUUCAAUGUCUACGUGUGUAUAUGUGUACUGGUGGUGGGAAGUUGUUGUGCGCCAAGAGCGGAACCAUGCUGUAUCGAAGGCAUUACCCACCACACAAAGUUUGUUGUAUCUUGGAUGUUAUCUAGAAAUCGAUUUCCGCAAACCAAAUAAAUAUCCCACAAAAGGACACGAAAAGCUAAGAUAGCUUUGCUAAACCAAUGUCAUCGUAACCAAGGUAGCAGAAGUGUAUGGACCCACUUCUCUGUUUUUGCUGGUCAAUAGUGUUUUGUGCUACAGUUUAUUGUGAAUCCGCAAAUUAUUUCCAUGAGGGAUGAGAUGCUCAGGUACAGCUCAUCCGUGGAUCUUCUGGCUAUCUCGGUCAAGGAGCUUUGGCCCUUGGCCGAACAGUGAGGCAGAGGUAGAGGAAUGCGCCGUUGUGCUUCAAAUAGAGAGGACUUUAUGCGCCUAUGCUGGGAAUACUCAUCGCACACUGUGCAACAAAAUUGACAAAUUGUAGCUUCUUAUCAGGACAAAUAGAGACCAUUCUCCCUCUUCUGUUGUUGUGUUUCACGGAGUGUGAGAUGGGGCAUCCAAACCAAAUUCCUCUCGAGCACUGCCCAGCUUUCGGCUCCUACACGCAAACCGGAACUUUGUUACAAAACAAAGGAUUUACGGUUGGUGUUCCAAUGAAGGCUGGCUGCUGCAAAACGUUUAAAACCGACAGGUUCUCCAAACCUGUCCGCCCUUUGACACUCUCUGGGAAUUCUCUUCCUUUCUAUUGGCUGGCGUUGACAUGCCCCUCCCCCCCGAGGCUGGCAUGCACAAGGCUCCAAGGUAACUCGCAGACCAGAUAUAGGGAGCGGGGAGAGGGAACCCCAGUUAGGACUUUGACAAUGGCAACUUAACUCAAAGUCCCCAAACAUAAACGGUUAACAGUGUUUCCCCCAGAAGAUGUCUUAGUCAAGGUGGUCUCAAGGAGCGGGGGGGGGGGUGUCUCCGUUUCAAUUCCAUUCAAAAGCCUUAUGGCACGACCAUUGUUGUAACAGUAUUACCGAUGCAUUAUUGAUCUUUAUUUUUUACACCUGAUGGAAGUAGGUUUUCUCUCCCUACGAGAGUUUUCUACUUUGUUAAUGCAUAAUAAUUAAAAAAAAUAUAUAUAUAUAUUUUUUUAAUAUACAUUGGAAGUCAAGGCGGGGCCCUAUUGUCGUUAAGGCGGCCGCCUUAACAACACAGUACUGGGGGAAACACUGGUUGAUUAAAAGCCUGACCUUGGAUCACUGUUAAGUCACCAUCAGCCGAAGCUUCUCACCCACUCCCCUAGGCGGCUCCUGGGCUAUCUGACACUCUGCAGUCACACUCUUAUCCUCGUGAUCCCAGUAGGCAGGCAGAAACCAAACCUCUAUAGACCUGUCGUGCGCAGAUCUAAGAAUUUGAGCAGCGAAGACGCAGUAGAGGUCCUGCGUGACGGCCUUCAUAACACAGACUGGGAUCUUUGAAGCCUGGAUCAACACAAAGAGGCUGUGACUUCAUCCAUCAGCCUAUGUGAGGACAGCUGUCUUGCAACACACAGGUCUUGUGUGUCAACAAUCAAGAUGGUCAAGUUCUACAGGGCCAUCGAUGAGUCCAUCCUAUCGUGUAUCACCGUAUGGCUGGCUACAUGAUACGACCCCAACCCAUUUAGUAGCCUCCAGCCCUGUCUUUGCCUUCCACAGCGUAAAUAAUGAAUAAUCAAUAAUAACUAAGUGUGUACAUAUUGUUAAUU
ensembl:lncRNA